rnacentral:snRNA from 1 species
GUGCCCACUUCGGCAGCACAUGUACUAAAAUUGGAACCAUCCAGAGAAGAUUAGCAUGCCUCUGCACAAGGAUGACACGCAAAUUCUUCAAGCGUUCCAUAGUAAA